UGCAAGUCGAACGGGAUUUCAUUUGUAGUAAUACAGAUGAAAUCUAGUGGCGAACGGGUGCGUAACACGUGAGCAAUCUGCCGGGAAGUGGGGGAUAACUCGCUGAAAGGCGAAUUAAUACCGCAUAUGGCCAGGGAAGACAUCUUCCCGAAGCCAAAGUCGCAAGACGCUUCCUGAUGAGCUCGCGGCCUAUCAGCUAGUUGGUGAGGUAAUGGCUCACCAAGGCAAUGACGGGUAGCUGGUCUGAGAGGACGACCAGCCACACUGGAACUGAGACACGGUCCAGACACCUACGGGUGGCAGCAGUCGAGAAUUUUUCACAAUGGGGGAAACCCUGAUGGAGCGACGCCGCGUGGAGGAUGAAGGUUUUCGGAUUGUAAACUCCUGUCAAAUGGGAACAAGAAAGUGAUAGUACCUGAAGAGGAAGAGACGGCUAACUCUGUGCCAGCAGCCGCGGUAAUACAGAGGUCUCAACCGU
rnacentral:rRNA from 1 species